AGGAGAGGAGAGAAAGAGAGAAGAGAGGAGAUGAGGGGAGAGAGGAGAGAGGACGGGAGAGAAAGAGAGGGAGAGGAGAGGAGAGAAAGAGAGAGGAAGAUUCUUAUUCAUGUGUUUUAGAGGUCAGAAUGAAAACCUGUGGUAAUGAUGUGUAUUGCUCCCCCACUGCGCUGGGGCAGGACAGAGACGUCUUGUGUUCUGCCUCUUUGUUCUUUGGCCAGGCAUAGCGGCAGCAUAGCAGCAGCAGGGUGUUAACCUGGAUAGAGGUAUCAAGUGGCCAAGUCACCGCCUUCCAGGACUGAACCCUUUCCAAGGAGCUGGAUCGCUCGUGAAAUGAAAUAUCACCGGGACGAGGAUCAGGUCAGAGCGGCCCGCGUUCUAGUUCACCCCUUUCCUCCGUUCCUCGUUCUGUUGUCUUCUUCUACUUACUUCCUCUGCUUUUUGGUAGACGCAACCGACUACUAAUGCCAAACAUCAGCGGCCUCUCCAGACAAAUACUUGGAUCUGAGAUUAGCAAGGUUUAAAAGCCCUCUGAGGCGAUUCUUGAGGUAUCUUCAGAGCUCAGCUCCGGGUUGUCGACCUCUCUUUUCCUCAUCCCGUCUUCCUUCUUCUCUCCAGGAGAAUGACCUCCUGUCUGGUCCACCGUCCAGCUCUUUUUCCUCUCUUCAUCCUCUCUCCCUCUCUUCAUCCUCUCUCCCUCUCUUCAUCCUCUCUCUUCACUUCAAUGCUGGUUCAGUGUAGCAACCUCGUGAAACAACCGCAAAGUCUUGGCAUGGCCCCUCCUUUGUCCUUGUGUGGAUGAAUUAAGGAGGUAGAUGUCAUUACUUAUAAAGCGAAUUGCUCUUGGAAAUCUAAAAAUGUAAUCAACCGUCUUUGCCAUUCCUGAAAACUCUGCUGCUCGGGGUCUGUCAAAAACCUUGCUGUCUGUGAGUUAGUUUUCUGCCUCUCUGCUUUAGGCUGUCUGUCUGUGAGUUAGUUUUCUCUCUCUCUCUCUCUCUCUCUCUCUCUCUCUCUCUCUCUCUCUCUACCUCUCUCUCCCUCUCACUUUUUUUUCUAACUUUCUUACAACAGAGGUGGAUGGGCUGAAUCUGGGUUGUGUUCAUUUGGCCACAAAGUAGCCAAAUGUUUCUGUUACAAACUACCAGAUACUGGGGUAGCUGUAUGAGUCCACUGUCAAAUGUGACACAUCGUCUUUCUUUUCUUAUUAUUGUUUUUUCUCUCUCCAUCGUUACCCAGAUUCAGAAUUUGGAGGCAAAAGCUAUUUUUUUAUUAUCUUGAGCUCUUAAAAUACCAGAAUUGUAUAAAAAAUAUAUAGAUGAGUAUUUAUACCAAAAGUAUAUUGUGUAAAGUAAAGGGUCCCUGAGGAGGAGGUCUGAUGGAGGCCUGGCGCAUGCUCUGCAGAUUGUAGGUAGUAGACCUAGCUAGCCAGGUUUAGCUAGCCUAGCAUCCCGUUGGCUAGCCAGGUUUAGCUAGCCAGGUUUAGCUAGCCUAGCGUCCCGUUGGCUAGCCAGGUUUAGCUAGCCUAGCGUCCCGUUGACUGGCCAGGUUUAGCUAGCCUAGUGUCCCGUUGACUGGCCAGGUUAGCUAGCCUAGCGUCCCGUUGGCUAGCCAGGUUUAGCUAGCCUAGCGUCCCGUUGGCUAGCCAUGUUUAGCUAGCCUAGCGUCCCGUUGACUAGCCAGGUUUAGCUAGCCUAGCGUCCCGUUGACUGGCCAGGUUUAGCUAGCCUAGCGUCCCGUUGACUAGCCAGGUUUAGCUAGCCUAGUGUCCCGUUGACUGGCCAGGUUUAGCUAGCCUAGCGUCCCGUUGGCUAGCCAGGUUUAGCUAGCCUAGCGUCCCGUUGGCUAGCCAGGUUUAGCUAGCCUAGCGUCCCGUUGGCUAGAGGCUGUGUGUACAUUACCUUCAUAGGGCCAGUGAAUAGAAUGCAUAUUUUGUUUUUUAUAUCAGAGUGUUAAAUCUGUGUAAUAUGUAAUAAACAACUUUACCAAAUGAGCGUAA